rnacentral:ncRNA from 1 species
ACAGGCUUGGUCCUAGCUUUACUAUUAUUUACUACUAAACUUACACAUGCAAGCAUCCGCACCCCUGUGAGAAUGCCCUUAACCCUCUUAUGAGAUCAAGGAGCUGGUAUCAGGCACACCAAUGUCGCCCAUAACACCUUGCUUAGCCACACCCCCAAGGGAACUUCAGCAGUGAUAAACAUUAAGCAAUAAGUGUAAACUUGACUUAGUUAAAGUUUUUAGAGCCGGUAAAACUCGUGCCAGCCACCGCGGUUAUACGAGAGGCUCAAGAUAAUAGAAACCGGCGUAAAGAGUGGUUAAGUACUAAAAAACUAAAGUUAAACACCUUCCAAGCUGUUAUACGCACCCGAAGAUAUGAGAUUCAUUUACGAAAGUGACUUUAUAAAACUGAACCCACGAAAGCUAUGAAACAAACUGGGAUUAGAUACCCCACUAUGCUUAGCCUUAAACUAAAGUAUUAAAAUUACAUAAUACUCGCCCGGGUACUACGAGCAUUAGCUUAAAACCCAAAGGACUUGGCGGUGCUUUACACCCACCUAGAGGAGCCUGUUCUAUAACUGAUAACCCCCGUUAAACCUCACCCUAUUUUGCUUAAUCAAUCUAUAUACCGCCGUCGUCAGCUUACCUUGUGAAAGAACAAUAGUGAGCAAAACUAGUUACAACCCCAAACGUCAGGUCGAGGUGUAGUUUAAAUAGGGAAAGAAAUGGGCUACACUCAUUCAUUAAUGAACACGGAUGGUAUAUUGAAACAUAAACCUGAAGGAGGAUUUAGCAGUAAGAAGAAAAUAGAGUGUUCAUCUGAAAUCGGCUCUAAAGCGCGCACACACCGCCCGUCACUCUCCCCAAUAACACAAUUAAAAUUAAUUUAAACCCCUAUAGAACAAUAAGGGGAGGCAAGUCGUAACAUGGUAAGUGUACCGGAAGGUGUGCUUGGAAUAC